rnacentral:rRNA from 1 species
GACGAACGCUGGCGGCGUGCCUAAUACAUGCAAGUAGAACGCUGAAGGAGGAGCUUGCUUCUCUGGAUGAGUUGCGAACGGGUGAGUAACGCGUAGGUAACCUGCCUGGUAGCGGGGGAUAACUAUUGGAAACGAUAGCUAAUACCGCAUAAGAGUAGAUGUUGCAUGACAUUUGCUUAAAAGGUGCAAUUGCAUCACUACCAGAUGGACCUGCGUUGUAUUAGCUAGUUGGUGGGGUAACGGCUCACCAAGGCGACGAUACAUAGCCGACCUGAGAGGGUGAUCGGCCACACUGGGACUGAGACACGGCCCAGACUCCUACGGGAGGCAGCAGUAGGGAAUCUUCGGCAAUGGACGGAAGUCUGACCGAGCAACGCCGCGUGAGUGAAGAAGGUUUUCGGAUCGUAAAGCUCUGUUGUAAGAGAAGAACGAGUGUGAGAGUGGAAAGUUCACACUGUGACGGUAUCUUACCAGAAAGGGACGGCUAACUACGUGCCAGCAGCCGCGGUAAUACGUAGGUCCCGAGCGUUGUCCGGAUUUAUUGGGCGUAAAGCGAGCGCAGGCGGUUAGAUAAGUCUGAAGUUAAAGGCUGUGGCUUAACCAUAGUACGCUUUGGAAACUGUUUAACUUGAGUGCAAGAGGGGAGAGUGGAAUUCCAUGUGUAGCGGUGAAAUGCGUAGAUAUAUGGAGGAACACCGGUGGCGAAAGCGGCCCUCUGGCUUGUAACUGACGCUGAGGCUCGAAAGCGUGGGGAGCAAACAGG